AGAUCUCCAGCGGUCGGAAGGGCCCGAGUCCUGUUAUCUAGAACACAUCCGAGAGGGAUCAGGAGUCUCAUUCUAGGUCUCACCAGGAGGCGGCAGGCUCCUCACAGGACACGGAAACUGCACCAAAGGUCUUUAGAAGGCUGCGGAAACCGAUUCAAAGCUCGACAGGAGCUACAACGUGUCUGCUAAGUGUCACCUGCAGAUGGUGGUGUCGCAUACUUUACUCACGUUAGCGCCAUGCUAUCGCCGGUAGCUUGAAGGAGCAGCAGCGCGGGUCGAGGCGGAAAGCCGAGCGGCAAAAGCAGCUCCUCCACGGCGCCGCAGUCACAAGCAAAUGUCCCCGUAGAGACCCGGAAGAUGAGCCGUUCUGUGUAAUUCGUGGCCUUGAAAGCAUCUUAUUCGUCCCAGAGAAGGAUGCCUGGGAGAGACGGACGAAAGGCUCUGGUUCCGCUCCAUGACAUCCACCCUGAAGAAUCUCAUCACUGAAGCUUGAGCUGCUGUAGGGCGGAAGGAGGAGGACUCCUUGGAGGACAUCUGAGAUCCUCACCACCUCGCAGCAACUGACGCUGACUUUUGACUUUUUUUCUGGUUCACAUUGAGGUCUAAAAAUAAAUGUUUCUUUCUCUGACUCAUAAGUGCUCUAUAAUUGGUAGUAGAUUCUCGCUGCUUUUCCAUUGCAAGUAGGGCAGUUUAAAUAAUACGGGCAGGGCAUUUUUAU
ensembl:lncRNA